UACCCGAAGAUGGUGGCGCCGCCGCGCACCAACAGCUCGUGCCAUUGGGCGGCCGGGGCCACCCUCGCCCAAUGAGAAGGAGGGAUGUUGCUAAGUGGGCGGAGCCUGAGCUGUGCCCCCGGGAGUGGGCCCGGAGCAAUAGAGCUCUGGGGGACAGAUGGGAGGUCGCCACAGCGCCUUCUGCAGACCUGGAAGAUCGGGAGGCCUGUCCGUCCGCCACCUGGGCUGCUCUGCAAGGACGCCCAGAGGCCACAGCUGGGGCUGCAGGAACUUGGGUGCCUUCAUCAAUAGGCAAAGGAGAAAGGGAAACCUACCAGGCACAGGGCACUGGGAGGACAGAUGGAGAAGAUGAGCCCAGCCCCAGGAGAAUAAUGCCUGUUUUUCACAGGCAUUGGUGACCAUGGCUGAGAAGAAGACACAGAAGAAAGUUGUCCCUCCAGUACCACAAGUAAACUGUCCCAAUUCUGGGGUGAGCUUCUGGGCCUGGGCCAGGCCAACCCUAUUUGUCCAGUCUUGCCUGGCACUUCUGUCUGACUGUGACAAGCCUGUGCACCCCACGCUACCCCAACAGAGCAGUGCAGGCUUACCCAACCUGCACCCGUGCCAUGUGCUAAGCCUGGGACCAGGCAUCUUAGAACUUUGAAUCCAAGGGUAAUCUGUAGAGGGAGUUACCCAACACUGGCUACUCCAAGAAGAGCUUCUGGAAGCCUGUCGCAAAAGACUUCAUUAAAGGCUUUUGUUUCUGGGCAGAGCUGACUCAUCAUUUCCCCCAGAAAAGUUUGCUCUCUGGGAAGUUUCCAGACCCCCAUCCUUACAGUUGGCCAUUUUUCCAGACCAAAUGUCUCAUAUUAGAUCUCAAUUUGCAACUUGCUACCCUUCGUGUGCACAUGCUCUGGAUUUGUCCCAGCCUGAGCAGCUGAUUCACUUGGAUGUUCUGCGAAGCUCUCACCGUUUGGUUCCAUCUCAGCACAUCAGCAUGGAAGCUAUGGGUCAGAUUUCCAGUUUUGGUGGGGAGCCCAGAAGUGUCAUCCUGGGAGAUGGAGGUUGGAUCUCAGACUGGGUCCCUAGGAGCUCUGUAUCAGGUCCUGUGAGCUCAUAUUGUCUUUUGAAGGGCUGGUUACCCAAAGCCCAUCCAAGGAUGGACUACAUUGGGAUCAGUGAUCUGUGUGUGUGGCUGUUUAAUAUCUUGGGUAAAAGCAAAGGAAAGAACUCAUGAUCAGUUUGGACUCUGAGGGUUUAUGUUUAAACAGGAUGGCCUUCCUCUGUAUUCUUUUCUUCCAGCUGCCCACGCAUCUAUUCAUAGUUAUGUGCCAGACAUUGUGCUUAAGCUCAGGACUGAGGAUAAAAAGACAAUCCUUGCCUUCAAGGGCCUUGCAGACUAACAUCUGAGCUAGGCAGACACUGAGAACAAAGUAAGUGGGAGCUGAUGUAAUGCAGCCAUCAAGGAUUCAGACUUGGGCCAGGCCACCUAGACUCAUGUUCCUGCUCGGCUGCUUACAUGCAGUGCAACUUUGGGCACAUUACUUAACCAUUGCAUGCCUCAGCUUCCAAAUCUGUAGAAUGAGGAUAUGAUGACACCUACCUUAGUGUUUCAAGAGGAUUAAAUUAGUUAGUAGAUUUAAACUUCUUGGAAUUGUGCCAGGAACAGUGAGGAGGGUACACAUUUGAGGUGUUUUGAAACCUGUAGCAUCCACAGGACUAAUUGUUGAGGAACUUAAGAGGGAAGCUGAGGUCACCUUUAUGUAAAUCCCAGGGUGCUGGGAUCAGGUCAUGUGCAGCCAGGAAAGCUGUACUGGAGCCUCGGGUCCACUUCAGUAUAUAUAUUUAAUCUUAAAUAAGUAUUGCCUCAGUUGUGCCUUUGUAAAGUGGGAAUAAUAAUUUCUCCCAAUCCAGCCUCAUUG